AAAAAUCAUAUUUUAUACAAAUGUUUCAAAAUUUUGAAUAUUUAAUACCUACUUUAAAAAAAUAAGGGUUGUUUACAAUAACUGCUUUAUAAAGAAAAAAAAAUCUGCUUUAGGAACAAUUUUUAGCCGAUUCACUUUGUUCAUCCAUAUAUAUGUAGAAGAUUUAUUAUUUUUUCGACAAACUGAUACUUUUUACAUGUUUAUAAAAUGAGUAACGUUGAAAAACUGGACCAGCUAGUAUUUAUUUUUGAUUAUACCUGUAUAUCAUUUUAACGAGACAAAACCUGUUUUAACAAUUAUAUAUUUUAACUUGUUAUUCUAGUCCUUUAUAUUACUCGAGACACUUGACAUUUUUCAGCAGAUAGACGAGCUUCUAUAUGGCUAACUAUUUUUUUACAGAGAAGAGGAGAGUUCGAUGUUGUUUUUUAGCAAUGUAUAUCUAAAACAAAUUUCUUAUACGUAUAUAGUAACGAAAAUAUCGAUUCAUAUUAUUAUUAUUAUUAUUAUAAGUUCUCUCUUUAUUCAGGGAGACACCGUUCGUGUAUAUAUUUAUCAUUUUAGGGUCCUAAUUUUUUUUUUAACUUGAUAUACCUUAAUAAGGUCUACAUUCUAUAUGUGAUAAUAACUUUGUUUUAUUUUUUUUUUCCUUCUCUCUUUGUUCAUACAAUUCUACACAGUAUCUUAUGAUAAUUUUUACGUUUAGGAAUGAACAGUCAAUUUUAAUUAUUACGAUAAAAUAAAGCAAGUUAUUUUUAAGUUGUUUAUAUUACUUUAUACUCGUUUCUGUUCGUUUGGCGUUUAGGACCAAACGACAAUGGAAUAAAAUCAAAAAAUAUUAUAUGUAAGUACUUUACGAAUUUUGUGGUGAAAUUAAAUAAAAUGAACCUUGUGUAGUGUUUUAUUUGUCCUAGAUUUUAACUUGUCUUGUGGCUGUCUCAGGGGCUCACGUCUUGUGAGUACGGGUCUGGCGAACCCGAGGUACCUUAGCUGGGCGCUCACUUUGCUUCAACUUGUCUUGGGUGAGGUCCUCUAUUUUCUUUUCUGUAUAGAUCUUCCUUGAUCAACUCUUGUUUUCUUCCUAUUUUCGUUCUUUUUUUCUUCCUUUUAAGACACGAUAGAAGAAGGCUCCAAUCAAUGUUUUUAGAGAAGCUUGUUUACCUUCAUGAAGAUGUUCAACCAGUGCAUUGGAGAUUGUAAGUAAUGAUUUUCCGCAAAAAAUAUCACCUGCCUCUAGAGCCUGAAUGUUAUCAACAAUUAUGGAUAAUGUCUUAGUGUUCCCAAACAGUGCACAAGUUUCCAUCUACAUCGUACCAUGAUCGAGGUCCACUACGUGCAUCUUCUUUGAUACACCUUGUAUAUAUUGUAUUAUAUUUUUGUACGUUUUGUU